UGGGGAAUAUUGGACAAUGGGCGCAAGCCUGAUCCAGCCAUGCCGCGUGAGUGAUGAAGGCCUUAGGGUUGUAAAGCUCUUUCGGCGGGGAAGAUAAUGACGGUACCCGCAGAAGAAGCCCCGGCUAACUUCGUGCCAGCAGCCGCGGUAAUACGAAGGGGGCUAGCGUUGCUCGGAAUCACUGGGCGUAAAGCGCACGUAGGCGGCUUACUAAGUCAGGGGUGGAAUCCUGGAGUUCAACUCCAGAAAUGCCUUUGAUACUGUUGAGCUUGAGUUCGGGAGAGGUGAGGGGAACUGCGAGUGUAGAGUUGAAAUUCGUAGAUAUUCGCAAGAACACCAGUGGCGAAGGCGGCUCACUGGCCCGAUACUGACGCUGGGGUGCGAAAGCGUGGGGAGCAAAUA
rnacentral:rRNA from 1 species